rnacentral:pre_miRNA from 1 species
UGCACACAAGCAGUCUACAAGGGGAAAAAGUGAAGCUGCCAGCAUGAUCUAUCUAGCGCAUUUGGUUAGUGAAAGUAAUAAAUAAAGAAGCAAGUACGAUACUAACCCUAGCUAGGUCAUGCUCUGACAGCCUCACUCCUUCCUACUUGCGGACCCAUUUAAUUCAA